rnacentral:rRNA from 1 species
AUGAACGCUAGCUACAGGCCUAACACAUGCAAGUCGAGGGGCAGCAUGUCGGUAGCUUGCUACCGAUGAUGGCGACCGGCGGAUGGGUGAGCAACGCGUAUCCAACCUGCCCCAUGCGCGGGGAUAGCCCUUGGAAAUGAGGAUUAAGCCCCGAUAUGCGCAUUCGCCGCAUGGCGUGUGCGUGAAGUUGUGCAUGGGAUGGGGAUGCGUUGGAUUAGCUUGACGGCGGGCGACGGCCCACCGUGGCGACGAUCCAUAGGGGUUCUGAGAGGAAGGUCCCCCACACUGGCACUGAGACACGGGCCAGACUCCUACGGGAGGCAGCAGUGAGGAAUAUUGGUCAAUGGGCGAGAGCCUGAACCAGCCAAGUAGCCGUGCAGGACGACGGCCCUACGGGUUGUAAACUGCUUUUGCGGGAGGAUAAACGGCGCCACGUGUGGCGCCCUGCAGGUAUCCCGUGAAUAAGGACCGGCUAAUUCCGUGCCAGCCGCAGC